GGAGAGGGCGGCGACUGGCCGGCGGCGCGAGGGAUCUGGGCGGGGAGGAGCGAGUGGUCGUCGGGGAGAGAGCGUGUGGUCGACGAGAGAGCGAGUGCGAGGGCAAAAGGGGAAACGGGAGAAAUAUCGUAACGUGACAAAAAAUGAACUGAUAAUCCCGAAUGACAACUAUUUCGGAACAGAGGGAGUAGCCCUCAAGCGCAAACAACUGGCUCUAACAAAGUUACUACUCCCUACGCCGUAAGAUUUUCAAAACAUACGGAACAGGGGGUAGUUCAAUCCUUAGUUCACAAGUCAGAAACCCGACAUGAAAACAAAAUACGAAGGCAAGCGGAGAAAUAAAUAUCUCAGGUGGACGAGAGCAAUAGCAGCAUAUCACCAGAUGCAACUAACAUUAACAGAAAAGCAGCAGCAAACGCAGUUCACACACAUCACAUCCAACACCACGUACUGCAGUAGCAUCCAACAUAACGAACGG